UGGACAGUAUCAAUUCUGAACUGUACCUAUGGACUAAAUACUAAAAACAAUCUGCCUUGAUCAAAUAAGACAAGGACGGAAGA
rfam:Lysinibacillus manganicus DSM 26584 contig7, whole genome shotgun sequence.